UACGGGGGGAGCAAGCGUUGUUCGGAUUUACUGGGCGUAAAGGGCGCGUAGGCGGCCUCCGCAGGUCAGUUGUGAAAUCUCCGAGCUUAACUCGGAAAGGUCAACUGAUACUGCGGGGCUAGAGUGCGGAAGGGGCAACUGGAAUUCUUGGUGUAGCGGUGAAAUGCGUAGAUAUCGAGAGGAACACCUGCGGCGAAGGCGGGUUGCUGGGCUGACACUGACGCUGAUGCGCGAAAGCCAGGGGAGCGAACGGG
rnacentral:rRNA from 1 species